ACAUGGGCGCCAUGUUUUAUCCAACUGCGCGUGUACAGUUCCGUGUUAAGAAAGCUCUCGGCGUGGUUUUGAGUUGGUUCCUUUGCAAUGCCCUGUUGUUCUGCGUGGGGAUGCUCGAAUAGAUCAGAGAUGGGAUCUAGGAUGUUUGUGUUUCCCCGUAAUCCAGCUCUGGGAGGAAAGAGUGAAACGAAAGAACUGGGCGGCAUCGUCAUCGUCGUUUCUUUGUGAGGGUCCACUUUGAUGUGUCUCAGUUUGAAUGUAAGUGGUUGAUGGGAAGAGGAAACUGGCAGUGCCUACAAUUUUUUCUCACCGAACGAGUUCCUGCUCAGAGAAAGCCUCCGACUGAAAGAAGUGCCCCGUCAAUCCCAGCAGCUCCAUCUGACCACACCUAUUGUGAACAUGGUCAACUAUCACCUUGUGAAGGUUAGUGUUACUCUUUCGCUGAAUGUUGUUUAACAACGUUAGACAGAGUUGACUCCACCCCGGGUGGGUCAGAGUUCCGGUCUGAUGACCGUCUCCUUCUGUUCACGCAUGCACAUACUUGGGCUCUGAUCCUCACGCCGGGGCCAGACUUUCCCUCCAGCAAGUCUAACGAAGCUCGUCCAGUGGAGGUAUCUGACGGCGAAGUUACCUGGUGAUACAUAAGACUAUGAAUAUCCGACAAAGCUGAACUUGAACAAGCACUAGAUGAAGAGGUACCUAGUAAUGAAGUUGGUGUGUCUGCUAUGUACUAUAAAAAAUAUAGUAUACAGAAUCAAAAGAACUGGAGCUGUAGUUAGAUUAUUUAGUUAUGUCUACCUCAGCUGCGGCAUACGUAGUAUAUUGAUGAUUACCAGGCGUCGAUUUGUAAGUGGACAUGUCACACAGUAAGCAGAAA